rnacentral:rRNA from 1 species
AGUGAACGCUGGCGGUAGGCCUAACACAUGCAAGUCGAACGGCAGCACAGUAAGAGCUUGCUCUUACGGGUGGCGAGUGGCGGACGGGUGAGGAAUACAUCGGAAUCUACUUUUUCGUGGGGGAUAACGUAGGGAAACUUACGCUAAUACCGCAUACGACCUACGGGUGAAAGCAGGGGAUCUUCGGACCUUGCGCGAUUGAAUGAGCCGAUGUCGGAUUAGCUAGUUGGCGGGGUAAAGGCCCACCAAGGCGACGAUCCGUAGCUGGUCUGAGAGGAUGAUCAGCCACACUGGAACUGAGACACGGUCCAGACUCCUACGGGAGGCAGCAGUGGGGAAUAUUGGGCAAUGGGCGCAAGCCUGAUCCAGCCAUACCGCGUGAGUGAAGAAGGCCUUCGGGUUGUAAAGCCCUUUUGUUAGGAAAGAAAAGCAGCAGGUUAAUACCCCGCUGUUCUGACGGUACCCAAAGAAUAAGCACCGGCUAACUUCGUG